UACGUAGGUGGCAAGCGUUGUCCGGAUUUAUUGGGUUUAAAGGGUGCGUAGGCGGUCUAUUAAGUCAGUGCUGAAAUAUCCCGGCUUAACCGGGAGGGUGGCAUUGAUACUGAUGGACUUGAGUGCAGUCGAGGUAGGCGGAAUUGACGGUGUAGCGGUGAAAUGACUUAGAUAUCGUCAAGAACACCGAUAGUGAAGACAGCUUACUAGACUGUAACUGACGCUGAGGCACGAAAGUGUGGGGAUCAAACAGG
rnacentral:rRNA from 1 species